rnacentral:SRP_RNA from 2 species
GCCAGGCAUGGUGGCGCAUGCCUGUAAUCCCAGCUACCUGGGAGGCUGAGGCACAAGAAUCACUUGAACCCAGGAGGCAGAAGUUGCAGUGAGCCGAAAUUGUGCCACUGCACUGCAACCUGGGUGACAGAGUGAGACCUUGUCUCAA